AUUGAACGCUGGCGGCAUGCCUUACACAUGCAAGUCGAACGGCAGCACGGGAGCAAUCCUGGUGGCGAGUGGCGAACGGGUGAGUAAUAUAUCGGAACGUGCCCAGUCGUGGGGAUAACGUAGCGAAAGUUACGCUAAUACCGCAUACGAUCUAAGGAUGAAAGCGGGGGAUCGCAAGACCUCGCGCGAUUGGAGCGGCCGAUAUCAGAUUAGGUAGUUGGUGAGGUAAAGGCUCACCAAGCCGACGAUCUGUAGCUGGUCUGAGAGGACGACCAGCCACACUGGGACUGAGACACGGCCCAGACUCCUACGGGAGGCAGCAGUGGGGAAUUUUGGGACAAUGGGCGCAAGCCUGAUCCAGCAAUGCCGCGUGCAGGAUGAAGGCCUUCGG
rnacentral:rRNA from 1 species